GGUAACAUACUCAAUACCUGGCAUUCCACACCAGAUCAUUCAUUUGCUCUCUUCUAUUUUCGUUUUUCAUACCUAAUGCAGUUGAUAACAAAUCUCCAUUAAUUGCAAAACUGCUGAGCAUAUAUGACUAGUGUAUUGACUGCAUUCAUGAUUAGACAUAACUAACAAAAUCCUUAAUAACUCAUCUAAAUUUGGUCAUCCAUAUCUUUAUUUGGAUGAUCAUUUAAAAUAAUUUUAUCCUUCGUAUCUUUUUUUACUCCAGCAGAUCAUUUAUAUAUAAUAUCCUACAUAUCUGUUUGGAGGAUUGAGAGAGAGCAUUUAAAUAUGGAUUUUUCUCUCAUAAUAUUGAUGGUAUUAAAAAAAUAGAAGAUGUGAUGAAUGCUAGCCCAGAGCUCAACUUUGACUCUUCAUUCUCUAUUUUUAGAGUGACUGACGAGAUAACUUAUCUACUGGAGAUGCUCUAAUGAUAAUAAAGAUUAAAUACCGAGGCUGUAAAAUACCGUAAUAUUAAAAAUGUUAGAACUCAUACCUCGCAAGUAAGUACCACCACCCAUGAUGUCAGUCUACAGAAAAAUAGUCAAUCGGUCAUAAAAUCCUAACGUCACUCGUAAUUUGACACUCUUUUACUCCCUCAAGAGAUUUAUUUAGGAAGAAAACUAACACAAGACGCGGAUAUUCUCGUCCAAUUCUGCAGGUGUAGGCCUUGCCUUUAUGGUUGCACUUGGUACAACAUUGAUGUGCUACUACUGGACAGUGAAGAAAAGAAAGGUGGCAAAAAAGAGAGCAGAGUUGUUCAGGAAGAAUGGAGGCUUGCUACUGCAGCAAAGAUUUUCGAUGAUCACAUCUCAAGGUGAGGACUCAUCAGCGAAGAUAUUUAGUGCUGAAGAACUCAAGACUGCCACGGACAACUAUAAUGAGAGUCGCAUCCUUGGCCGAGGAGGAAGUGGUAUGGUUUACAAGGGUGUCCUUCCGAAUAAUACCGUGGUUGCCAUAAAGAAGUCCAUCUUGUUUGAUGAAAGCCAGGUGGAUCAAUUUGUCAAUGAGAUCACCAUAUUAUCACAGAUCGAUCACCCAAACGUUGUCAAGCUUUUGGGAUGCUGUCUAGAGACAAAAGUUCCACUGUUAGUUUAUGAGUUCAUACCUAAUGGAACGCUCUUCCAGCACAUCCAUAAUAGGAGUUCUUUAACAUGGGAAGAUUGCUUAAGGAUAGCUGAAGAAACAGCAGAAGCACUUGCAUAUCUACACUCUACAUCUUCUACACCAAUCAUUCACAGAGACAUUAAGUCAAGCAACAUACUGUUGGAUGAGAAUUUCGUGGCUAAAAUAUCAGACUUCGGUGCAUCAAGAUCAGUCCCAUUCGAUCAAACCCAUGUAACAACUCUAAUUCAAGGAACAAUCGGUUAUCUUGACCCUGAAUAUUUCCAAAGCGGCAAGCUCACAAAGAAGAGUGACGUUUACAGCUUUGGAGUGGUUCUUGCAGAGCUAUUGACAAGGCAGAAACCAAUUUCUGCAAGCAGGCCGGAGGAAUCCUGUAACCUAGCCAUGUAUAUUGUGAUUUUAUUCAAUGAAAGGCGCCUACUAGAGGAGAUAGAGCCACGCAUUCUGGCAGAAGCAGGCGAAGAGCAGAUAUAUGCUGUUGCGCAGCUCUCCGUCAGAUGCUUAAACUUGAAGGGAGAAGAACGCCCAGCUAUGAGGGAAGUGGCUUCAGUCUUACACGAGCUAAGAGAAUCAUUCAUCGAGGAGCAAACUAGCAGAAGAAGCGACGAUUCAAUGCAGAUGAUUAAUGAACAAGUGAGUGUACAAACUACACAUGGUGAGGCAAGACCGAUUUCCAGCUUGCAAUCUUCGGAAGAAACCACGCAGUACAGCAUGCCGGCCGAAAUACUACCUUCUAAUUUGGCCAGAUGAUGUUCUUAAUUUCUUAUUACAACACAAUAAUCAGACUCGCCGAUUGACAACUUAGGGAACUAUGUAACUCUUUUGUGUUUAGGUCAGCAAAAUCAACUUUUUAUGCGUGCGUGCGUUGCUGGCUUUUAUUACCUGGUUUACCCAUGAAAAAUCCAAAGGAGAGCCAGAGCAGUUCAUACCUCAUGCUUCCACUGAUGAGCGCGGCGCGCUUUCGACUGCUUAGCCGCUCCGACCUUGUACUUGGAGGAAAUCCCCUCGGGCUUAAAGGUCGGUUACUCGGAUCCAUCUCUUCCGCUCGCGUGCUGGUGUGUUUUGUGCCACGGCCCACGGCGGCGGGCGGCGGGCGGCN
rnacentral:lncRNA from 1 species